rnacentral:rRNA from 1 species
UUUUAACACUUAGUGGCGGACGGGUGAGUAAUGUAUGAGCAACCUGCCUUUCAGAGGGGGACAACAGUUGGAAACGACUGCUAAUACCGCAUAAUGUGCGUUGAAGGCAUCUUCAAUGUACCAAAGGAGCAAUCCGCUGAAAGAUGGGCUCAUAUCUGAUUAGCUAGUUGGUGAGGUAACGGCUCACCAAGGCUGCGAUCAGUAGCCGGACUGAGAGGUUGAACGGCCACAUUGGGACUGAGAUACGGCCCAGACUCC